rnacentral:rRNA from 1 species
AGUGAACGCUGGCGGUAGGCCUAACACAUGCAAGUCGAACGGCAGCACAGUAAGAUCUUGCUCUUACUGGUGGCGAGUGGCGGACGGGUGAGGCAUACAUCGGAAUCUACUUUUUCGUGGGGGAUAACGUAGGGAAACUGACGCUAAUACCUCAUACUACCUACGGGUUAAAUCAGGGGUUCUUCGGAGCUUUGGCGAUAGAUUGAGCCGAUGUCGGAUUAGCUAGUUGGCAGGGUAAAGGCCCACCAAGGCGACGAUCCGUAGCUGGUCUGAGAGGAUGAUCAGCCACACUGGAACUGAGACACGGUCCAGACUCCUACGGGAGGCAGCAGUAGGGAAUAUUGCGCAAUGGGCGAAAGCCUGAUCCAGCAAUGCCGCGUGGGUGAAGAAGGCCUUCGGGUUGUAAAGCCCUUUUGUUGGGAAAGAAAAGCAGCAGGUUAAUACCCCGAUGUUCUGACGGUACCCAAAGAAUAAGCACCGGCUAACUUCGUA